GCCUGUUUAUCAAAAACAUUACUAUAUGUAUUAUAUAUAGCUAAUUCUGCUCCAUGAUUAUAUUAAAUAGCCGCAGUACUUUGACUGUGCUAAGGUAGCAUAAUCAAUUGGCUUAUAAAUGAAGUCUGGAAUGAAAGAAGAAACGGAGAAUAACUGUCUUAUUGAUAUUUUUGGAACUUCAUUAAAAAGUGCAAAUACUUUUAGUUUAAAUAUUAGACGAGAAGACCCUAGAACUUUAUAAUUUAUUUUGUUGGGGCGACACUGAAGCAAUACUUAACCUUCAGAAAAUAUACGAAGUUUAUUUACGGUAAAAGAAAAGUACUCUAGGGAUAACAGCAUAAUUUCUUAGAAGUUUGUGACCUCGAUGUUGGACUAGGGAAUGGUUAGCCUAGAAGGCUAAUCAGAUAGGCUCUGUUCGAGCUAUAUUACCUACCUGAUCUGGAUUCAGACCGGA
rnacentral:rRNA from 1 species